UUUUUUUUCAAAUAAAACUUUCAAGGAAUUAUUGGAAUUUUCUUCCUGAAGGUUUUGCAAAUUUUCAGAAAUUUGGGGAAUUUUUUGCUGAAUUUUGGGAUUUUUUCAGACAAGGAAACUAUAUUCUUUGGUGCCCAUAAAUGAGGACAACAGGCGGGUUAAAAUAGUGGUGCUAUGGCAGCCCACUGGUGACCCAAUACCUUAUUAAACCAAUAUGUCACCCAUAUAAUUGCAUUAAUGUCCCUUUCUAAUGCAUGUGAUUUUUUUGAGUGAAGACAUCCAAAUUUUUGUCACAAAAAAUGGAUUUCUGCACCUAAAAAUGUUUAAAUAGGGUGGGAUAUUGUUUUUUUUCCAUUAUAAGAUCACUUUUUAAAUACAGUGACGCCUCUUUGACCCAUUGGAGCAAAAUCCUACAAAGGAGAUUUCAUCAAAUACAUCUAAUCCACUUUCAUCAAGGAGAAAUUUACCAAUGGCUCUUUUUAGACCUUGACCGGCUUUGAAGCCAAAUUAACGGAGUCAUCUGGCAAAGACAGAGGUAUUCGGCCCCUAAGAGGAAAAAAAACAGCCUUUGACUGGAGCCAAUAUGUAACAAUUAUGUUCGCAGCAGCAGAAAGGCAGCGAGUGGCUCUUCUCCUCCUGAUAGCUGGACGGAGGACGGUUGUUAAUAGGUCGGAGAUGAUAGAUGAGUUAUUAGUUACGAAGGAGGAGAGGAGGGGGGAUGAAAUCAGGCCAGCUAUAUUCAUUCCACGAUUCAGUCUCUUUUUUUUUCCUUUUAACUCCCCCCCUCUUUCCUGCUGCCGUCCAUAUUUUGCGCGGAGAGAUUUGUCCUUACAAAUCAUUUCUUAAGAGGUUUAAUUUUACAGGAAUAUAUUUAUUCAGGAUGUAAUUUUGUAGGAGACAAUUUAUCAAGAAAUCUUUUAAAUAGACGUCAGCCGUUGGUCUCCCGCCAGCUCGGUCAAAGAUUUACAGUUUCACACGCGGUUAUUGUUGCUGACUUAAGAAUCUGACUUCUGGAUGUCAUUGCCUGGGUGUGGCUCGUGUCCAAUGCUGUUUGCAGGAGGGAGAUUCACAGCUUCACACAGGCAGGAUUCGAGGAAGGAAAGUUUUUUUUCUUCCUUUUUUUUCCCCCCGACCAAUUAUGCGAAAGUUUUUCUUUAUCUAAUUCGCAGUAUUAUGUGUGUGUGCAGGCAUAAUUAGGCGAGAAUCCACACCUUAUAGCAAUAUCGAGAUGGGCGACUAAUGAGCUGACAGGGGAGUGGGAGAAGAGAGGAAGAGGAGAGGGGACAGUGUGUGCUGGUGGCUCCGUAUCGAGGAAUACAAAUCACACUUUUUCAUGUCUCUGUCUUCUCAUAAGCAGCUUUAGAUUUCGAAAACAGGACUGGCUGGCGGGAAGGCAAAUGAUUUGAUUCAUUACAUGCGACGCUGGCACUCGGGGGCAUGUAUAUGUUAGAGGCUACAGUCGCUCAGGUAGCCCCCAUCCCCAGCCGCCCACUGCAUUUCUUAUAGCUUCCAUCGCUUUGUUUUUGUAUUCUGUGUGGCUGGCAUCGCCUCAGAUGCAUUGAAUCAAUUGCCUCAACCCACACCAGGCAUCCACCCCCAUACUCAUAUGUGAGUGAAAUUAAUGCCUGUGGGACGUACACGAGUUUAAGGCAGCCACGCUCAUUGAUUGGAGCCUAUUGUAAUAGCAAUGGAAAUAUAUUCAGAUAAUUAUCAGACUCAUUUAGGUAUGUGGCUUGGUUAUGAACCUGAUGCUGCUUUGUGGAGGGUUUUUUUCUUUUUUCUUCCUUUCCCUCGGCGGCGGCACCACAGAGCCUCAGAGCUGACAGUAAAUUUGCUCAUCAACCAGUUUCGUUCCAGUGCGAGGUAAAAAAUUAUCCAAUAUUUCACGGUCUGGCCCUUUGAAGGCGGUGUUACUCAGCAGAGCUGGGCGCUGAAAUGUAGAGAUGCAAACUUGUGCGCGAACGAAGAGACGAGGAAAGUCUUCACGUAGACCGAGGAAUCAAGUAAAUAACCAGAGCUCAUAUUUCAUUCCCCUGCUUUAUCCUCCUGCGGGCCCAGUCAUGCUUGUUGUCUGACAGCGUUAAGGUCAAGGUUUAUCUGUGUGCGGACCUGUGGGAGCCCAUUGAUCUCAUUAACAGUAUGUGUGUAAAAUGAUGAGAACUUCAUAGGAGGUCAGCGGAGGAUCAAUAUUAAAUCCUAUCUCAUUUAUAAUCCUGCAGAGCAGAGAGGCUCCGCGGGGCUUAGCUGCUUAAAAGAGGCAGCGUUUGACAAUUUACUUUAAUGCUCAUAUGAAUAAACGUAAUGACACGCAAAUGCUUUGAGAUAAGAUUUUUUUUUUAUUGUCUGUUUGCAGGCACUUUAGUACUGUUUCAGUGUCAACAAAUGCACUAUAAAUACCCUGAUGGAUGAUAGAAGGGGGAGGCUUGACCAGAAAGCGCUUUGCAAACACAAACACCAUCAAGGAGAAUAUCGACAUGGAAGCAAUAUGAAAUUAAAAUCAAUUCAUCAAAUGUUUGUUACAUCUGCUGGCAGAUUGAUGUUGCGUCCUCAGCUAUUUUUAAGGAGAUUUGGCUACUCUUAUCUGCCAUCUCCACCUUCUUACCCUCAGCAUCUUCAGAUCAGGGAUUAAGCUUCUGAUUAUACAUAUCACUUAGAGGAUUAACCCCUUUGCACACUCUUAUCUCCCCAAGUUAGGAAUCUGACCGCUGAUGGAUGCGAAAACCCGAUGAGGAGGCGUUUCAUGAGAGCGAUUUUUGAGGCAAAUUCCGGGAGGCAGCUGCGAAGAGAAACUUUUUCACCCAGCUUCUUCUAGAUCUCGGAAUUUAACCUUUAAUUUUGUAUGUUCCUGAGCCAAUUAAGCUGUGAGAUCUGUUUGAAGUGGUAGAUUGAAAAGAAGAACUCGCCGGUUUCGGGCCCAAACAGUGCAGGGAGACCACAGGGGUCCAGGUUCCCAGAGCCUGCAUGUGUAAUCCACUCUAACAUGCAUGCAAAUCUCAUCUGUGCCCGCACACAAUGGCCUGUCUGUGUGGAGGCGGGAGGAAGGGAAGCUUGAAAGAGGGAGAGAGGAAAAGCUGUAAGUGUGUGUCCUCUGUGCCAGAGCAUAUGCCAUGAUAGGCCUACGGAGACCUGCACAGACAAACUAAGGUUCACAGACUAGUAAGAGUCUUUGAUCAGGGUUGAUAUUUAAACAUCUGCAUAAUUAAUCCAAUAUCUGUGGAGCUCUCUGAGGGAGGAAAAAAACACAGCAUCGCCCGUGGAAAGGAGAACAUUGUAAAUUCCUGGCACCGCUCUGUUCUGCUUCUUCUCUGCGGUGUAAAAACAAAAGUUGGCAACCCAGAUCUCAGGGGAAAUUAAGAAUCUUUGUCUUAUCCAGCCAAUUAAAUGAAAUACACUUUUCUGUACAUGGCUGGAGCCGGCCUCUGGAAUCUAUUUAUGCCCGUGUUGUGGUUACCACUUCUACUACGCCGCUCACCGCUCAGAGCUUCCCUUCACCCUGCAGAUGAGACUGGAAAUCAGGGAUGUGGGGUGAGAGGUGCAGGGUUUUUUUUCCCUCUUUUUCCCAGAGACACAGAGAACUUACUUUCCAUCUGUCUCAAUCAUAUAGAUUUAUAGGAUUAGACCAAAUGCUGUUUUAGUCCUCAGCAGAGGCUCAACUCUUUCAUGUGAAACAUUGGAUUAGAUAGUCAGGGAGGCUUUUGUGUGUGUCGUCUCCAAACCUCCAAUGGCUCCUUUCUCUGGCAUCUUAUUGUUGUGCGGUGGGCUGUUUGCGUAUGCGCGGCGUGCCUUGAACUUUAUUACGUUUCGAUAACUUCAUACAUGUGUGCGCGUCUUUAUUCUCCCGAGCUAGCACCUCUGCUCUGCUGGGACCCCGGUGAGGAGACCAUAGCUCAGCGGGGGGCCUUCGCUCCAAUUUGCCAUCGUUUGUCACCAUUUGUUCAUCCUGACAAACAAAACGCUGGCCCUCGGUCGCCCGGGAUCAGCUGCUCUCUUCUUCUCAUGGCUCUAUUUUAGCGGGAUCCCUUUGUUUUGUUUUUUUGCUGAAUGAUUCCGCUCCACAUGCUGGACUUAAAAUAGUUUCUCGCCAUCUAAUUGCCUUAUUUCAUCAGACAUUAAUAUUGUAGCAUGUUGCCGCUGCAUUAUUGAUGGUGUGUUUGUCUUGGUGUAUGAGAUGUUAAUUAAAUGAUAAACUGGAGCUGUGACUGUAUGACAGUCUCUUUAUCCGUGAGUCAACAGGCUUCCACCCUGUUUCCCAGCCUAUUGUUGAGCCAGUCAGACUCUGUCUCUUGCAGCCUCGGCUUCAUUGUGCACUCAGAUAUCUCUAUUACAGGCCCCUCAGAUUAGAAGGUAAUAGCAUAAUGCACUUUAAAGGCAGUUUUAUGAUAAACUCUGGCUGGACAGGCUUCCAUGUACGAGAGGCCAGCUGUCCUGUCGAACGUGGUCGAGAUGUUUCAGGCUGAUACGAGCUUCAGCAUAGUGAACCGUCUCCCCGGUCAGUCACUUAAUGCUGAUUUUCAGCCUCAUAUCACUUUCUUGAAUCUCUGCGGGUGCAGCAAAGAAGCUAAAACAUGUAGAAUUGCUCCCCGGCUCCAUAAAAACACGGGAAGGUCAUGCAGUUAAAGCGCUCUCUGUGGCUUCCUGGGAGAGCGAAGCGUCUCUCUGGGCUGCUUACAAAUGGACAAGCAAUAAACUUUAGGUGACUGCAUGGCGUUAACAGCAAAGGAGUGAAUCCAGAUGAGGAUUCGGUUUCACUCACUCCUCCCCUCCUCCUCCGUUCUUCUGUCUGAUGUUCAGGUUUUAGCUGGAAGUCGUGAGAUGAACCGACAGAUGACCGCACCAUUACAGGCUGGAGUGGCUGGCUGGUUCUUUGGUCAGCAAGGCCGCGGUGACAAAUAAGUUGGCAAAGUUUCAGACAAGAGGCUCCUUGGCACCAAAGCUCAGACUGCUUGCUUUCGGCCCCAGUGAGGGACGAGGAACAGAUGUCUGGUUUAAAGCCACAGAGUUUCUCUCAAGCUGCAAAUUUCUUCUUGUUUGAAGUGAGCCCCGAGGCAUAUCUCAUUUUCAGCCCUUGUUCCAAAUCAUAUGCAUACCUUUAUUCACAUCUUGAAGACUCUCAUUACGUGAAAUGAAGAGUGUCAGAUACGGAGGAAGCUAUUAAGGAAGAGCAGCGAGCCCACUGGUCUGUCGUAAUUGUAGACAAUAGUGCUGAGAUGAGCUUUAUAUUACCAAUGCCAGAGUAAACACUGACCUUGCUGUUUUCAUGUUUGUGGCCCUGAGGGCUUUUUGUGUUUUUUUUUUUGUCUCUUGUUGUGAUUCAUAGAAAAGUAAUGUUGAAACAUAAAUUCAAUCUCAGAUAAGACUGCAGAUGUGUUGGCUUUCGCCCAAAAGAGAAUGAAAUGAUGCUUUGAUCAUGAACUGAUUCAUGUUUUAGAAAGUUGAGAGGCUUAAAGGCUACGUCUGGUGAGAUUUUAAAUUUUUUGUAGUUGUCUUUAAAUCCCGAGAAAAGACAAAAAACAAAAAACAAAGAGCGAGUAUUGUCUGUGAAGCUGUAGCCUGAUAGAAUGAAUUCCGCCAGAUCUCUGCUGUUGCUCAGAAACUCUUAAAACACAAGUGAGUCACAAUAAUCCUUUAUUACGAACACUGUGAACGUGGUCCUUUUUUUUUGAGUCAGUCCAACAUGACUUGCUGUAAAUACUCACUAUAGCAGUGGUUCCAAAGACACCGAGAGGGGAUUUUGAGAUGAUGUCUUGAAAUCAAUAAAUCGAUCGAUAAAUAGAGAUUGCCACUAAACCCUGAGGAUGAUCUCCAAGUGGCCGUCUCCAAUUUUAAACCAAGAAUGGAUUUGCUAUGUAGUGCCCUCCCGCCUUCAUAGGUGAGUUUAAGGUUAAAUCGAAAGAAAGGAGUAAAAAGCAGCAACAUAGAAACAUCAUCUGAUCUCUUACACACCGUAUGUUUACUCACUAUUACAGUUUACACACUGACGUUACUCUGAUGCUUCGUGCUACAUUACUUGCAGCUGCAUGCAAUAUUUAUAAGUUCCAACCACCUCCAGGGAUCGUGAGUCUGUGGAACUGUCAUUUAAGGGGUUGGAGGCUGUAAAGUUUGAGAACUACUGCACAGGAGCAGCAAAUGUGUAGCUCUGGUCAGACACAGACUCCAUUCCAUGAUUCUGACGGCAACUGAACAAGUCGGCUUCAUGCUUUAAUGACCAAAAGUUGCAAUGCCGCUCUUACUAUGUCGGACUUCGUAUCAUUUGUAUAUUAACCCUUCUGUUGUCCUCAUUUACGGGCACCAAAAAAUAUUGUUUCCUUGUCUGAAAAAAAUCCAAAAAUUUAGCAAAAAAAUUCCCCAAAUUUCUGAAAAUUUGCAAAACCUUCAGGAAGCAAAUUCCAAUAAUUCCUUAAAAGUUUUAUUUUAAAAAAAAAACCCUAAAUUUGGUAAGGAAAUUCUUAUAAAUAUUUUUCAAAAAAUGAGUAAAAAUCUUCCAACAAAAAAAAAAUCUAAAAAUAUCUAAAGUGAUUACAUAUAUAUCAGUGAAACUUCUAAUAUUUUCUUUAAGAACAUUCACAAAAACAAUCAACCAAAAUCCAGCGAAUUUCACUGGAUUUUGUUGUUUUUUUUGGUGAAUGUUUUUGAACAUUUUUAACAUUUCUUUUUUUUCCACCAAAAAAGGUUCAAAGAUCUCCCAAAAAUGUUGAAAAUGUGGACAUCUGAAGUUUCACUGUGAAAAUAUAUUUUUUCCCACAUUUUCAAACUUUAGAACGGGUCAGUUUUGACCUGCAGGACGACACGAGGGUUAAUGUCAGAACACCACAAGUCUGAGCUGCAUCCAUUCACAUUACUGAACAGGCACACAUAAGUGACCUUGAGCUGUGUGAAGUGAUUUAGGAGAGGCUUUUCUCCACAUUUCUGCACCUAUAUUGGUCCAAAAACAUCCCAGAGAGCAAAAGACACAGGUUGAGUGCCAAAAUCAUAAAACACUUUGCCCUACAAGUUCACAUGUGUGAGGCUAAAAACUGAAAUGUCCAUAAUAGUGCGACUUUACUGCGAUAGCAAUAAAGAUGGUAAUCCUUUUUCUUUUGACAAAACUUUACCAGGAGUAGAAGUUUAGUUUGACGUUUCCCGUUGUUUGUAGAAGUCCUUUCUCUAAGUUUGUUAAAUACCAGCAGCAUCAAGCAGCAGCUGGAUCCAUAUGUGCACAUUUGUGCCGGUAACCUGAAUAAACUCUAAGAAUUCUAUAUUAUCUUGUACAUGGAAACUGGAUCCAUCAGGAUUUAACGGCAGGUUCCACUGUGUGCUUUUCUUCACUUCAAAUUACUGAUGUGUCACACAAAAAGUCACAGUUUAUCAGCAACAGUUAAUUCAUUUGUUACAUAGAGGUUUUCCUCAGGUUGUGUCCUGAGCUCCAUCACAGCUCUCUGGAUAUUUUUCUUUUACUUUUCAUGAAGUAUUAGUUGGAUAUUCAUGACAUAUAGACAGAAUUUCAGGGAAAUCAUGCGUAAACUAGGCUAUACACUUUGAUAAGUUGCUAUCGGUUUAUAUUUGGUCUUUCACUUAGUGGAUUAUUAUGUAUUAUAUUGUCAUUUGCUGUAGUGUUCAGUUUCAAGUCCAUAACAAAUGUGGUGCUCAUCAUGGCCCUCUCUGUCACUGUAUGUCUGAAUGAGGCAUAUUGAGGAACAUCAACAUAAUAGUGAUCCGUGUCUGUCUGACUGACUGACAGCUGUCACUUUAACACACGCAGUUCUAUUUCUUUCUGUUUAUCAGUGAUCAGAAUAGAUGAUAACUUACCUACUGGGCCAACUGUAGGUGGACCACAUGUAUGGGAAAGAUGUGUGCUGAUAAUGGAUCAUUUAAUAGGUUUAUGACGUUCUAAUCAGGACUUAGUUUAGUGUGCAGGAUUACAAACAUUUGUUUAUUAGCACUGAACACAAUGUACAGCUGAAUCUUGAAUUUUCCUCAGGAUUAAUAAAGUAUCUAUCCAUCCAUCCAUCCAUCCAUCUAUCUAUCUAUCUAUCUAUCUAUCUAAUAUGUCGGCCUGAUGGUGACACCAAAGCAAGUUUACCAACAUUUUUUUACAUUUUGUUCCUUUUGAAGGGGUGUGUUCAUAGCAAAUCAUUGGAAUCCCUUCAACAGAAACUUUUUUUUUUUUUUUUAAAGAUUUGCAUUUUCAGUAGGAAUCAGAAUUGGAGAGUGAGUGACAUGUGAAGUACAGAGGGAGCUGUGUUCCCAUAAUAUGUGGAUUUUGAAGUAUCGCAUUAGAAAAGGUUAAUGGAAACUACAAAUUUUUAAAAAAAACGUUUCCGUAAAAGUUUUAUCUCUCACUUGAGGUGGCUUUUGAGUUUUUCCAAAAAGAAUAAUAUCGUUUCCUAGGAGACGGAAACACCGUUUUUGAGUUAGUUCGAACUUAAUGAAUAUUUAACUCACAUGAAUGAUCAGACUCUGACGUGGCUAAUAAUAGCUGACAUGAAAAAAUAAUUACAACUUGCCAUACUGGAAAAACAAUUUAAAUAAAUUCGUACUCGAAUAUAUGGCCAAACAGACUGAUUUGUUUGUCUGGUGGUGUUAUGAGAUUGUGCAUCUGUUGCUGAAUAUUUUCCACCAAUAAACACCCUGUUUUUGAAAAAUUUUCAAGCAUUCAGAUAAUCAAGACAAUCAUUUAUCUCUGCGAUAGCAAUUAUUUCACCUGAAUCCUCCGUCUGAGCACUAAAUUAUAGAUUUAAAUGACUACAAUAAAAAUCUCGCCAGGAAUUUCAUUUUUUAAUUGGAGGCAGCAAGCUGAGCAGUUUGGUCACUUCUCGGUUGAUUUAUGUCUCAGGCUGAUUCAGCUGACAUUCAGACUCCCCCAUGGGUCUCCGUGUGAAAUAAUCUCCGUUUGUAAAUUCACUUUGCCCCCGCUGCACUGGGAAGUCAGAGGUCAGAGUCACUAUUGGACUCAGUGUUGUGAUUUCCAGCAGGAGGCUGUGAGCGGCUGCUGUGGUUGAGGGUUUGUCUCUUUAUUCGGUGCACCACGGAGCUGCUGUAAUACCCACAUGUAAUCAGUCUGCCGGAUUAUUAGAGCAAAUUAAAUCAGAAACGGUUUCUGAAAAUCAGCACUCCAGUUCAACAAGUAAGAUUUUUGUUAUAACCAAAAUUAUUUUUAUAUAUUUUGCCCUGUAAUGUGGAUAAUAACAUAAAAUCCGCUGGUGUCUGUGUUAAAGGCUCUUUUUUACGAGAGGUGCAAUCAGUGGCUGUCAUAUGAAGCACUUCAAAGUUGAAUUAACGGCGGUUUUCCAGUCGUCAUUUCAUAACCAUCCGCCAUUUUCUAAUCAAAUCGCUUUCAUCAAGAGCUCAUCUAGUUGUUUCGAACUAUGUUAAUAUGUUAAAAUGAGCAGAGGAUCCACCAGUGUGGUCGCAAUCAGCACAGACUUUCAUUACUGUAUGUUCGAAAAUAAUGGGAAGGCAGAGCAGAGGAAAAACAAGACGAUUAUGAGUCAGCACCGGGAAAAAUCUCCCUCCUAAUUAAAUCAAGCGUGCCCUUCACUUCACUAAACUUCCAUAUCUUGUUUUGAUCGCGCGGUGGAUGCUGGUAACCUGCACAGAAAAAUAAAGUCCCAGAAUUCGAUUAAACUCUGUUCCUUGCUGUUUUCAUCAGCGUCCUUAAAUGGAAAUCAUUCAGGAAAAAAGGUGUGUGUUUCAAGCAGAUGGAAGGUCGACUCAUCUUAGACCUGCAGCUAUAAGACGCCGACUUCAAGCGAAAGCUUUAACCGCCGGUUUUCAGAAAGGAUGAAAAACAAGUUAAUUAAUCUUGUUUUCACUGCUUUGUGUUCAGGGUUGAAGAGUCUCGACUGAUGUACAUCCCGUUCUUGGUAUUUAAAGAGUCACAAUAUGAAAGAUGAUUCAAGGGGUGUUAAAAUAUUAUUAAAUUACCUACAAUACAAUGAAAGCUGUCAGCCCAGGAGUGUGCCGUAAUCAAUCAUGCACAUCCAAUGCAAAGACAAAACUAAGAUUAAAAUAAAACCCAGCUUUAGUCACAGUUAAUAAAACUUUUACCAAUUAUAAAGACAUCAGCUAUAAACCAUCAAUAAGAGAAGCUUGCAAGGUUGACGUAUUUCAUCAAUGCAAACAAAUCUAUACAAGUCUGAAGGUAUAAAUGCUACUACUACUACUUAUAUAAGAUAAUACUGAUCACAUUUCAAAAUUCAGGUUUCACGGCAGCAAAGUAAAACAGACAAGUUAUUAAAUCCUUACGAUUUAAAAAACAUGAAAGAUAACAUAAUGUAACAACCAACACAGCGGUCAAAGAGCUAAAACACUGUUAAAAGGAAUAAGAGACGGCUCUGAAGAAAUACAAACUCAAAUAACAUCAGGAAAAGGCCCUCUGAUAAAAGUGUGUUUUAAGAAGAGACUUCAAAGAGGUCACUGAGUCAGCCGACCUGAUUUCCUCGGGCAGAUUUUCUCACAGCUUCGAGGCCUCGACAGUGAACGUUCUGUCCCCUUUAGUUUUAAGAUUAAAGACUUCUGCCUGAGGAUCUCAAAGUGGUGUACACUAUACUAAAAGGUCAAGAAUCUAACUAGGAGAGAGGCCAUGAAGAAUUUCAAACGGUAAAAUCUUAAAAUCUGUCCUAAAACAUAAUGAGAGCUGGUGUAGAGAAGCUAAACAGGGAGUGAUGCGCUCACACUCGGCGGUUCUGGUUCUGCUGAGUCGAUCAUCAAGGGUUUUUAUCCAUCAGUUCUGCAGUGGUUCAGGUAAGUCGUCAAACUGUUCAACCAUGCAAAGAGCUGAGCUUCAUGCAUGUCCGCAGAUUGAGAGGUAAUUUUAAGCUUCAUUACAGACAGACAAAAGUUGACAGGCGAUCAAGGGAAACAAGACUCUCAGUUCCAGUCCAUUGUGUUUGUCGUAGACAUUGACUGUUUACAGUAUAAAGAUGGACAAACUCUCUGUGGCGUCGCCCCAGGUUACCAUGACGCUACGACAGGUUUCCUAAAGGUCAGUGUGGUGACUUCAGCUGCCACCAUCGUGUCUGACUCAUCCUAACAUUAAAAUAGUUACUUGUGUUGUGAACUUUGGUAAGAAGCAGAAACUUUAGCGUUGCCAUGGAUACGUGAGUGUUAAAUUCUGUCCAUGUUUCAUUUUGUGAAAUGCAGUCCAGCAGAUGAGUUUGUUUUUACUGCCAGCUACCAUUCAGUCUGAGAUAUUAAGAAUAAAUAAAUGUGCAUAAUGUGGAAAUUAGCAGAUUUUAUUUUUAUUUAUUCCUACAGCCAGAAUAUGGAGGAAUUUAGUCUCACAAUCACAGACAAUAAAUAUGAUCUGAAAGUCGGGUUAUUGUUGUGUAUCACAAUACAAAAAGAUUCAUGUCAGAAAUAUUCCAGUGAUGACCCUAGAAUGUCAUGAUUUAUGUAAUUUUACCUCAAUAAUAUGAAUGUUCAGGUUGAGAUUGUGCAGUGAUAUUUAUUAUGUAAGUUUAGCUGAUUAAAGUUUAUGACUCUUCACUACAAUAUUAUUUAUUAUUUAAAUUCCCAUCAUUUUAUAAUAUUUAUGGUCAGACUCUACAGUAUUGAGAUUAAGAAAUCAAAUAUUCUAUAAAAUGUAAAUACACUGAACUAAUUUGUAUAUAUUUAAGUGAGACUACAAUAUUAUUUGACACAAAUCUAUCGAAAUCAACAUUUUAAUCAUUUUUACUCCAAACAUUUACUAGACUGAUUUGAAUAAUAAAAUCACUCCUUUCUAAUCCUCUGCUGUACGUUCAAACCUGAGGCCUUAAAUAGAAACACGCAAGUAUCUGAUUGAAGGAACUUCAGCAGCAGAGCCCUGGUUCCAGAACAUGAUGAGAGAAUUGUAGACAAACUUUAACAAAAGCUGCCUGAGAGUUUACAGGUUUUUAUGUCAGAUUUCUUCAGUAAUAUAAUGAGAGUUAUCAGCAAAAAUCAAGUUUUCAUUUGAUAAACUUAAUUUCUUAAAACAUCCAGAGUUGGAGCUCAUAUCUUUGGCAACUGUAAAGUUUUUGCUCCUUCAAAGCUCACAACACAAUGAAUGGAUUCCUAAAACACUCUCAGUGCUGGAGAGCGUUUGUGAUGCUGAAGCAGUGACCAGUUUUUCUGUUUCUUCUCUGGAGAUGCACAACGAGGGACGUCUGCAGCGACUGAGGAAGUGUCUCACCACAUCCUGAUACGAGGAAAAAGACUUUAUUGAAGACGUCAAUGAGAAAACUGUCAGGCAGCAGACAGCAUGCAUUCAAGCUGCUGAAUUCAUGGAUGAAUCAUCUGCCACUAGAGAGGAAGACCAUCAAACAUCCACGUCAGCUGAUGGAGGUCCAAGAGUCUCACCAAACAAACAACCUACAGAGUGAAGACCUCUAACCUGACUGAACGGCCUCCUAUUCAGCCACAUUUCAGGCUGUUAGAUUGUUCCAGAUAAGACAAAUACAAGAUACUUCAGAGCUGUUCUACCAGGAGCCUGACAGGAAGAACUCCAAUAGCUGCUGAAUGUUCCUGUGGUCCCCUCAAGGCUACAGGAGGAGUCCUACGAGGACGAGCCGGUCCACCUGAUGCCGGCUAGUCGCUGUAGUUCGAAGCCAACACCGACUACGUGGACUUCUACUGGACCACACGGAGACCAACAAGUUCACUGACUCCCUGACUUGUGGGUCUGAGGACGCCGCUGAGCCUCAGCCCAGCCGGCCGCCUGUCUGUGGGUGUUUGAGUGCUGAGAGGUUUGUGGAUGCAUGUGAACGUGUCUGUGCUGAAACAGCAGCUUUUGACUCAGUAAUGCCGGUAAAAACCAAGAGCUCCUUUAUUUGUGACUUCCACUAAAAAAACUGAUGAAAAUAAAUUUGCCAGAGUUCUGACUGAUAGCAGGUUAGUAAAUAAAGAAAAUAAUAGUUUAAAUGUUCCUUUAAUCAAUCCUUUUAGGUCUACAUUUCCUUUACACUGACUUCUUGGUGUAUGUACAAGUAUUUUGGGUGGAAUAUACCAUUAAGCCCAAUGUUCAAGGGUUCUUCUGGGAAUAAACCAUGAAACCAACCUUUUAGGUAAAUGUUUUAGGAUGUUGGGUAGAAUAUACCAUCUGAUCAACCUCUCAGACCUUCUACAUUGGAAGAUUUUAGAGUAGAAUAUUACUCCAAACCAUCCUUUAGGUCUACAUUUAAGGUGGAAUACUCCUUUACACGAAGAUUUUUUGGUCUACAUUGAAGGAUUUUAGGUGGAAUAUUCCUUUGAUCAAAAUUGUUAAGUUUAUGUUCAAGGAUGUUUGGUGGAAUAUACCAUCAGACCAACCUCCAAGGUCUACAGUAGUGAAUUUUAGGUGGAAUAUACCAUUAAACUCAACUUUUAGGUCUACAUUGGAGGAUUUUAGGUGGAAUUUUCUUCCAAACCGUCUUUUAGUCUACAUUUAAGGAUGUUUAGGAUAUUCUUAUAUCCUAUAUUCUUCCAAACCAACUUCUCAGGUCUACAUUUCAGGUGGGAUAUUCCUCCAUGCUAACUUUUUUAGUCUACAUUGAAGGAUUUGAGGUUUUAGGUGGAAUAUCCCUUUUAACCAGCCCCUCAGGUCUCUUUGAGGAUUUUGGAUGGAAUACUCGGUUAAACCAACAUUUUAGGUGCAUGUCCAGGGAUUUUUGGUGGAAUGGUCCUUUAAGGUCGAUGUGUGAGAACCUUGUAGGUGGAAUACUGUGACGUUUUUACAGUGAAGAAUCUACUAUGAAACCGGUUUGACAUGUUCAGGCGUUCUAUGUGUGAAAACUCAGAGAUUUCAGGUAUCAGAAGGUGGUUUUCAACUUUCUUUGUUAAAGGGGAACUUCGUUUUGUUUCAACCUGGGGUCUGUUUUCAUAUGUCAUUUCAUACAUGUGAGUGAUAGAGAACUGAAUUUUUGACAUAGCUCCAGUAUUUAGCCAGGCAGGCAGCUUAGCAGCUCAGCUAGUGAAAAGUAUGGGGCAACUUGCCCUCCGCGUCAAAGUCCGCCCUAACGUGCUAUAUUUCCCACACUGACCGGCUCGAAUAGUCUCAACGAGUGUCCCACAACAUACUAGAGAUGAGAAGUGAAUGAAAACCUCCACAUUACUUGGCGAUCGCUAUUUGUCGUGGUCUGUAUCCAAAUCUCAGGACGCGAGAAAGCAAAUCUCGUUCUGAAAUCGCGCGAUAGCUCGCGCCAAAACCGGUCAGUGAAGACUCUCCACUGACAGUUUUAUUAACUAAAUGCACCACAUUACACAAACACAACACAACACACUUCAACUGUUUACAUGAAACUCUACACAAACAUCGUUAGCUUAAUGCUACGUUAGCUUUAAUCAGGCUACGACUGAGCAGCUAGCUCGGUUAGCAUUGCUAACAUUAAAGCUAAUAUUUACUGGAUGCUAACUCUCUUCUUUGGUCAAUAAACAUUGAAAAAAACUCCAACAUUUGGAGUGCAUGGCACACAUUAUAUCUGACACUACAGUUGCAUAUAAAGUGCAUUAAUAGCGGCACCGAUACGAAAAUAAACACUUACCGAACUAUCAGAGUCCUUUCAGUGUCUGCUGGUAGAAUCAGCCGAAGGUAGGAAACUGGUUAAAACAAGCCAACAGGCAGGAAAACUGUUUGUGGAAAAUGUUCUGCUGCUCCACCGACAAAUAAACCAACAGUUACUAUAUCAGAGUUAAUCAAAACGAGGAGAGCACAGUCUGGGCUGCCUCCUCCCACAGACUGUAUAUCUUUAUAUACAGUCUAUGCCUCCUCCAUAGGACCUGUCAAAUAUUCCAGACCGGACUGUUUAUCAAGUAACCCUGCCCCCUGGCUUAACAAAACUUUAACGCUCUAUAACAACAACAAAAAAAUCAAUAUUGGUUUAUUUUAAGAUCGGCCACCUGAUCUCUCAUUAUGACCAUGAAAACUAACGGGAAAAAAAUGUAUAUACAGUCUAUGCACCGUACUCUGUUUGGCUCCACACCUGCUGAUGACCACUUCCGGUCUCAGAAAAUGAAAAAAAACUGACCUUUUUUCGUUUCUGCCUCUUACUGAUUUUAUUUUCUUGUUAUUGUAAAUAUAAAAUGAAAAUCAAAGCAUUUUUAAAAUUUCAUUAGCAAGUUAUGUUAUACUGUGAAUAACAAACUUGCAGACAACGGGGCAAUAAUUAUUCUUUAUUCAUGAGGAUUAGAUAUCUGUGAACACUAAUUUACUUGAUAUUGCAAAAAAGGACAUUGUGAUGUUGUAAAGAGUCUUGUUGGAGAUUAGCCCUUUAACUGAUGUUCUCAUAUUUGUAAAAUGUAAGUUGUGAUGGAACUGUUUCCUUGCAGAGGAAAAAGAGAUGAUAGUGUUAUCAGAAAGUGCAACACCUUUUAUUUUAUUUUUUUAUUUAAUAUUUUUAUUUCUUCUUUAAUUUCAUUUUUAAGGUUUAGAUAUCCUUGAACACUUAUUUGAACAGAAUAUAGAUUCUGAUAUUGUAAAGUAUAAUGUUGGAGAUGUGCACUCAUGUUGGAAUAAAUCCUUAUUGUGAAGCAAC